rnacentral:rRNA from 1 species
AUGAACGCUGGCGGCGUGCCUAAUACAUGCAAGUCGAGCGAACAGACGAGGAGCUUGCUCCUCUGACGUUAGCGGCGGACGGGUGAGUAACACGUGGAUAACCUACCUAUAAGACUGGGAUAACUUCGGGAAACCGGAGCUAAUACCGGAUAAUAUAUUGAACCGCAUGGUUCAAUAGUGAAAGACGGUUUUGCUGUCACUUAUAGAUGGAUCCGCGCCGCAUUAGCUAGUUGGUAAGGUAACGGCUUACCAAGGCAACGAUGCGUAGCCGACCUGAGAGGGUGAUCGGCCACACUGGAACUGAGACACGGUCCAGACUCCUACGGGAGGCAGCAGUAGGGAAUCUUCCGCAAUGGGCGAAAGCCUGACGGAGCAACGCCGCGUGAGUGAUGAAGGUCUUCGGAUCGUAAAACUCUGUUAUUAGGGAAGAACAAAUGUGUAAGUAACGAUGCACGUCUUGACGGUACCUAAUCAGAAAGCCACGGCUAACUACGU